UACGGGGGGGGGCAAGCGUUGUUCGGAAUUACUGGGCGUAAAGGGCGCGUAGGCGGUCCUGAUCGUCGGAUGUGAAAGGCCUGGGCUCAACCUGGGAAUGGCAUCCGAUACGGCGGGACUGGAGUGUGGGAGAGGUUGGUGGAAUUCCCAGUGUAGAGGUGAAAUUCGUAGAUAUUGGGAAGAACACCGGUGGCGAAGGCGGCCAACUGGACCACAACUGACGCUGAGGCGCGAAAGCGUGGGGAGCAAACAGG
rnacentral:rRNA from 1 species